GCCAUCAUAGCUCAGUUGGUAGAGCGCAGCCAUGGUAAGGCUGAGGUCUCCAGUUCAAUCCUGGAUGAUGGCUCCA
rnacentral:tRNA from 1 species